UACAGAGGGGGCGAGCGUUGUUCGGAAUUACUGGGCGUAAAGGGCGCGUAGGCGGCCCGCUAAGUCAGACGUGAAAUCCCUCGGCUCAACCGAGGAACUGCGUCUGAGACUGGUGGGCUCGAAUCCGGGAGAGGGAUGCGGAAUUCCAGGUGUAGCGGUGAAAUGCGUAGAUAUCUGGAGGAACACCGGUGGCGAAGGCGGCAUCCUGGACCGGCAUUGACGCUGAGGCGCGAAAGCCAGGGGAGCAAACGGGAUUAGAUACCCGUGUAGU
rnacentral:rRNA from 1 species